rnacentral:rRNA from 1 species
GUAGAAGACAACAGGGAUUGCCCCAGUAACGGCGAGUGAAGCGGCAACAGCUCAAAUUUGAAAUCUGGCCCCCGGGUCCGAGUUGUAAUUUGUAGAGGAUGCUUUUGGCGAGGUGCCUUCCGAGUUCCCUGGAACGGGACGCCAUAGAGGGUGAGAGCCCCGUCUGGUCGGACACCGAGCCUCUGUAAAGCUCCUUCGACGAGUCGAGUAGUUUGGGAAUGCUGCUCAAAAUGGGAGGUAUAUGUCUUCUAAAGCUAAAUAUUGGCCAGAGACCGAUAGCGCACAAGUAGAGUGAUCGAAAGAUGAAAAGCACUUUGAAAAGAGGGUUAAAAAGUACGUGAAAUUGUUGAAAGGGAAGCGCCUAUGACCAGACUUGGGCCCGGUGAAUCACCCAGCGUUCUCGCUGGUGCACUUCGCCGGGCACAGGCCAGCAUCAGUUUGGCGCGGGGGAGAAAGGCUUCGGGAAUGUGGCUCCCCCGGGAGUGUUAUAGCCCGUUGCGCAAUACCCUGCGCUGGACUGAGGUACGCGCAUUCGCAAGGAUGCUGGCGUAAUGGUCAUCAGCGACCCGUCUUGAAACACGGACCAAGGAGUCGUCUUCGUAUGCGAGUGUUCGGGUGUCAAACCCCUACGCGUAAUGAAAGUGAACGCAGGUGAGAGCUUCGGCGCAUCAUCGACCGAUCCUGAUGUUCUCGGAUGGAUUUGAGUAAGAGCAUACGGGGCCGGACCCGAAAGAAGGUGAACUAUGCCUGUAUAGGGUGAAGCCAGAGGAAACUCUGGUGGAGGCUCGCAGCGGUUCUGACGUGCGAAUCGAUCGUCAAAUAUGGGCAUGGGGGCGAAAGACUAAUCGAACCUUCUAGUAGCUGGUUUCCGCCGAAGUUUCCCUCAGAUAGCAGUGUUGAACUCAGUUUUAUGAGGUAAAGCGAAUGAUUAGGGACUCGGGGGCGCUAUAUUGCCUUCAUCCAUUCUCAAACUUUAAAUAUGUAAGAAGCCCUUGUUACUUGAUUGAACGUGGGCAUUCGAAUGUAUCAACACUAGUGGGCCAUUUUGGUAAGCAGAACUGGCGAUGGCGGAUGAA